CGGGGAAUUUUGGACAAUGGGCGAAAGCCUGAUCCAGCAAUGCCGCGUGUGUGAAGAAGGCCUUCGGGUUGUAAAGCACUUUUGUCCGGAAAGAAAUCCUUGGCUCUAAUACAGUCGGGGGAUGACGGUACCGGAAGAAUAAGCACCGGCUAACUACGUGCCAGCAGCCGCGGUAAUACGUAGGGUGCAAGCGUUAAUCGGAAUUACUGGGCGUAAAGCGUGCGCAGGCGGUUUGCUAAGACCGAUGUGAAAUCCCCGGGCUCAACCUGGGAACUGCAUUGGUGACUGGCAGGCUAGAGUAUGGCAGAGGGGGGUAGAAUUCCACGUGUAGCAGUGAAAUGCGUAGAGAUGUGGAGGAAUACCGAUGGCGAAGGCAGCCCCCUGGGCCAAUACUGACGCUCAUGCACGAAAAGCGUGGGGAGCAAAACAGGAUUAGAUACCCUGGUAGUCCACGCCCUAAACGAUGUCAACUAGUUGUUGGGGAUUCAUUUCCUUAGUAACGUAGCUAACGCGUGAAGUUGACCGCCUGGGGAGUACGGUCGCAAGAUUAAAACUUAAAUGAAUUGACGGGGUCAGCUGUUCCU
rnacentral:rRNA from 1 species